AACUGGGGCGGGUCCCUCACAGUGGCACAGAGGGAGGCGAGAGGGUCUGCGCCCAGACCUCUGCAGAUGACACAAUGGAGCCAGAGAGGUACAGUGACUCCCCCAAGGCCACACAGCACAGGAGACAAGGGGCUGUUCAGACAACCAUGGGGCGCCUGGGUGGCUCAGUCAGUCAAGC